rnacentral:rRNA from 1 species
GAUGAACGCUAGCUACAGGCUUAACACAUGCAAGUCGAGGGGCAGCGGGAUUGAAGCUUGCUUCAAUUGCCGGCGACCGGCGCACGGGUGAGUAACGCGUAUUCAACCUUCCGUACACUCAGGGAUAGCCUUUCGAAAGAAAGAUUAAUACCUGAUGGUAUCUUAAGCACACAUGUAAUUAAGAUUAAAGAUUUAUCGGUGUACGAUGGGGAUGCGUUCCAUUAGGUAGUAGGCGGGGUAACGGCCCACCUAGCCAACGAUGGAUAGGGGUUCUGAGAGGAAGGUCCCCCACAUUGGAACUGAGACACGGUCCAAACUCCUACGGGAGGCAGCAGUGAGGAAUAUUGGUCAAUGGACGAGAGUCUGAACCAGCCAAGUAGCGUGAAGGAUGAAGGUCCUACGGAUUGUAAACUUCUUUUAUAAGGGAAUAAACCCUCCCACGUGUGGGAGCUUGUAUGUACCUUAUGAAUAAGCAUCGGCUAA